rnacentral:misc_RNA from 1 species
GGUUUGGCACCGGCAGUCUCCAAUGAGUCCCCGGCAUUACCCGCUGGCAACAUUGGACAGGGGUUGCGCUCGUUGCGCCACUUAAGGCAACACCUCACGACACGAGCUGACGACAGCCAUGCAGCAUCUGUGGUGCACCCUCGAAGGUCACACGUUUCCGUGCGCUUGCAGCACCAUGUCAAGCCCUGGUAAGGUUCUUCGCGUUGCGUCGAAUUAAGCCACAUGCUCCGUCGCUUGUGCGGGUCCCCGUCAAUUCCUUUGAGUUUUAGCCUUACGGCCGUACUCCCCAGGCGGGGCGCUUAAUGCGUUAGCUGCGGCACAGAGAACCGGAGAGGCCCCCCACACCUAGCGCCCAACGUUUACAGCGUGGACUAC